CCUAUAUAGGAUUCUCCUAUCUCUUAUGUUUUUUGUCUUCUUGUGUAUAAUACAGUUCCUUACUGAUACUAUAAGCUUGUGUUAACACAUACGCAUUGCGUGUCAAGAAUCAAGAUUCCAUUUCCGGCAAAAGAUGUGGGAGCAGAACUAUCCUAACAACAUGAUGGAGAAUGGAAUUAAGACAAAAUGCUAAGAAUAUUCAGAGCAUGUCCAAUUUGAACAAUGCCGUUAACUACUCAUAAUCAAUAAACAGUUUGUUCCAUGGACAUUAACUUAUUACUUAGAGAAAAGGAUGUG